rnacentral:lncRNA from 1 species
AGGAUGAAUCCAUAGAUGCUGAAAUGCAGCAACGCGAUAGUGAAUACACGGUCGCAACUGUCGCACAGACACAUCCUGUACCUGAUUCCAAGUAAGUGCUAAUUUUUUAGUUUUCCCAUUCCUUGAGGAAGAUGCAAGCACCUUAUGGCUUUGGUGGGUGCUUAUAGUGAUGUGAUGACAAGAAAAGGCAAAGACAUUCACUUUUUUCAGUAAAAAAAAAGGAAAUCGCUAGAAUUGUGUAUUGUUGGAAUCACUUGCUGACGUCAAUGUUUAAACAGGACUCAACAAGUUGAAUUACUAAACAGGUCAGGUGAAUCUAUAGUAUAAUUGAAAAUAUGUUUUAGUAAAAUUUUAUUUACAUAUUCUUCCACCAUUUUGAUGGAUAGCCGCACAUUUGAAAACAUUUUUUAAAACUCUUUAAGAAUUGACGAAAGAUUUUUUUUUUUUUAAUAUUUCUGUUUGUGGAAGUAUACAUAAUAUUUUUAGAAUGCUUGGACACUUGAUUGGAUGAUUAGUUUUGAAGAAAGCUCGGAACGUUCAUAUUGUUCAAGAACUUGACACCUUUUCUAUUUCGACGUUUUUGUAGAUUCGGUGGAUUAAAGAAGACGUACAGUCAUCCACAAAAGUCGAGAUGAAGACUCUAGUGAUGAAGGUCCAACUCCUCGGCCAGGAACCAUUGCUGAGCGAGAACAUAAGAAGUGGGAAAAGGCAGUUCCAUUAGCUAAUAAUCCAUACUCUAAAGAAAAUAUUGACAAAAGACUUAAGAGUAAUUUCAUUCUCAGUAAUCGAGCGAACUGUGAUACACCCCUGGAAUUCAUCUCAGAACAAACCAUUCACGUAGGCAGCAAUUUACCUGACAUGAAAAGAUACAGCAGAGACUUUUACAUUAACACUGACGAAGAUCAAAAUGAGAGAACAUCAAAUCCGGAGUCAAAGAAUCCAAUGCCCGAGAGAAGAAUUUCGCAAGAAACAAAAACUUGUGAAGGCUCACAACAGGUUUCUGUGAGAGUAGAGGUGGAUGUGUGGCCUGCAGAAAAAAUAAUACAACACCAAUCUACGACAUCACCCGAUGAUUCGCCUCAAGUCUCCCCGAUCAUUCAAACGACUGUUAACAUGAACAAGAUGAAUGGAUGCCGGCAAGAGAAAGAGUUUGAGGUAGUUGAAAAACCAGGGGUGCGAAUCAGCUCUUGGGUUGAUAAUGAGAAGAAAACGGAUGAAUUGGACGAGUGCCACUCUCUACCGUCGGUCAAGGAAUUGGCUAAACACUUUUCAACAGGGGAUAAAAAUGAGAAAAACCAUACGAUAGUGAAGGUAAAUAUCUUUGAAUAUCUUCGAGAAAUUUUGAGAAUCAACAGUCCUAGGUACCAAGUGUGCGGCAAUACUAUACUAAUCUUGCUUAUAUGGACGUAUUUAUGCAAAAAGGAGAUAUGUGCAAGUGAAAGGAUGGGGUAUGCUCAUUAG